GUACAAUGAUGACCAUCUUAGGACACCUUUGUAGGUUACGACCGAUGAAAACAAACCAUUUCUGAGUACG
ensembl:snoRNA SNORD58 Small nucleolar RNA SNORD58